ACUUUGUAGACCAGGCUGGCCUCAAACUCAGAAAUCCGCCUGCCUCUUCCCGAGUGCUGGGAUUAAAGGCGUGCGCCACCACCGCCCGGCAGUUUAUGACUUCUUAUGUUGACCAUCCUUCACUGGCAUUGCUUUUUUCUUUUUAAGAGUGAAUUUAAUGUAAUUAAUUGUGGCUUUAUUAUUGUGUAUGUGUUCAGAAUUUGUUGUCUUUUUCAUUGCAAUUUCUAUUUCUUAAGAUUUAUUUUAUUUUUAUUUAUGCAUAUACAUGUGUGUCUAUGUGUCUGCAUGCAUGUAUGUACAUGUGCAAAUGCCCACAGAGGUAAGAAAAGGGUGUUGGGUCCCUUGGAGCAGAAGUUACAGGUGAUUGUGAGCUACUUUAUAUGGGUGUUAGGAACUGACUGGGGUCCUCUGCUCUGUAAGAGCAGCACCUCCUUAUAAUCACUGAGUCAUUUCUCCAACCUCAGGUUUCUGGUUUCUGCCAGUGUCAAAGUCUCCCUUAACAACACAAGGGAUCACUGUAAUUUCUUAUGGUAUGCUAACUCAUAAAAGGAGAUAUAAAAAUGUUUCCAUUUUCUCAAUUUAGAAAGAGCUCAACUAAAAGGAAGACAUCUUUUCUUUGAAGUUUUGAUAAAAAUUUUCUGGUUAAAAAAAGGCUUUUCUUUAUGUAGCAAUUUUAAAUUAUGGUUCGAAUUUUUGUUUUUAUUUUAUUUUGUUUUGUUUUGUUUUCCAGAUAAGGUUUCUUUGUGUAGAUUAACAGUGCCAGCUCUGUAGACCAGGGUAGCUUUGAAUUCAGAGAUCUGCCUGCCUGUGACUGGAAUUAAAAGUGUGUGUCACCAUUGCCCAGCUCUGAUUCGAUUUUUUAGUAAUGACAAGACUACUCAAAUUAUAUUAUUUUUCCAAAGCUUUUAUUGUUCUUUUGGAAGUAGAGUAUACAGCUUUAUUCAGGCUAAGAAGGCAUUCUACCUCUGGCCUAUUUUCCAGCCUAAAUUCAAAACUUUCUAUAUCCAAACAUGAUGCUAACCCAUGUAAUAUAUCAUAGACAAAAAAUGUAACUAAAAUGUUGAUAAAAUUAUAGUCCACCAUGUGUAUAAGUUAUAUUUGAAACAUAAAUGAACCAUGUGCUUAAACUUUGGUUUUAUCACCAAUAUAUCUUAAUAUACAUAUAAGU
rnacentral:lncRNA from 1 species